CGUACAGUAAAUACAAUUCAGUAAUGGCCUGGGAGACAGCAGGGAUGCUGAGGCGGAACUGAAACUCGGUGCUGACGUUUCUUUCAGAGACUCCUAAACGUCACGGACGGCCGGAAAUGGUCGCAAAUUUAAACAGCCUUCACAGCAACAAUAAGCGCGUACUUUCACUUUAUGGGCUGUUUAAUGAAUCGCUAGUUUAUUAAAAAUUAAGUUAACUUCUUGCAAAGGAUUUCUUUUAAGGUGCAAACCUAACGGAAGAAGUCCAAGCUGACGG